GAUCAUGGCUCAGAUUGAACGCUGGCGGCAUGCCUUACACAUGCAAGUCGAACGGCAGCGGGCCUUCGGGUGCCGGCGAGUGGCGAACGGGUGAGUAAUGCAUCGGAACGUGCCAUUGAGUGGGGGAUAACGUAGCGAAAGUUGCGCUAAUACCGCAUAUUCUGUGAGCAGGAAAGCAGGGGACCGCAAGGCCUUGCGCUCUUUGAGCGGCCGAUGUCAGAUUAGCUAGUUGGUGAGGUAAAGGCUUACCAAGGCGACGAUCUGUAGCGGGGUCUGAGAGGAUGAUCCGCCACACUGGAACUGAGACACGGUCCAGACUCCUACGGGAGGCAGCAGUGGGGAAUUUUGGACAAUGGGGGCAACCCUGAUCCAGCCAUGCCGCGUGAGUGAAGAAGGCCUUCGGGUUGUAAAGCUCUUUCGGCCGGGAAGAAAUCGCAUGGGUGAAUACCCUGUGUGGAUGACGGUACCGGAACAAGAAGCACCGGCUAACUACGUG
rnacentral:rRNA from 1 species